rnacentral:hammerhead_ribozyme from 2 species
UAGCGAAGCGCGGCUAGGUAUAGCCGCGUCAAUCUCGUGUAGUGGCUAGAUACUGAUGAGCAGCUAAAA